GACGAACGCUGGCGGCGUGCUUAACACAUGCAAGUCGAACGGAAAGGCCCUGCUUUUGUGGGGUGCUCGAGUGGCGAACGGGUGAGUAACACGUGAGUAACCUGCCCUUGACUUUGGGAUAACUUCAGGAAACUGGUGCUAAUACCGGAUAGGAGCUCCUGCUGCAUGGUGGUGGUUGGAAAGUUUCGGCGGUUGUGGAUGUACUCGCGGCUUAUCAGCUUGUUGGUUGGGUAGUGGCUUACCAAGGCUUUGACGGGUAGCCGGCCUGAGAGGGUGACCGGCCACAUUGGGACUGAGAUACGGACCAGACUCCUACGUGAGGCAGCAGUGGGGAAUAUUGCACAAUGAGCGGAAGACUGAUGCAGCAACGCCGCGUGCGGGAUGACGGCCUUCGGGUUGUAAACCGCUUUCGCCUGUGACGAAGCGUGAGUGACGGUAAUGGCUAAAGAAGCACCGGCUAACUACGUG
rnacentral:rRNA from 1 species